UCUCCCAACUUGGGUUCAGCCACUCAAACC
rnacentral:piRNA from 1 species